ACCAUAUUGGCGCACCUACUGUGAAAGGAACAUCUACCCUUCAAAUCCAUCACCUCUACAAAGGCCUCGUUCCAAACGAACAGCACAAAGAACUUCAAGCAAUGGCACUUCAAACCAAGCUGCUGCUCAACAGAGGUAUUGCUGUUUUUCAGAAGUGCAGCCCGCAUAAACAUCUACUCACUUGUUAAAAAUCACUUUCUAAAGCCAUCUUGGCACAGAAAACCCCUGCCGUCUAUUUCAACGCACAGCUCUGAACAGUGUAAUCUGCACUCUACGAUCUUUUCAUUGGAAACUGGCUGCACUGGAUUUCUGAAUUCUAAUUAAAAUAUCCACUGGAAGCCUCAGACUGCUACAGAAAAAGAAAGAUGAGAGAGAGAAAGAAAUCCUUAAAACUGCUGCAGUGAAAACUGACUUCCCACAGUAUUUUUUAGCUUGAGUAGAUUAGCAAAAAUCGGUGAACAGCUGAAAACCAGG
ensembl:lncRNA